GACGAACCGUGCGAACGUUGUUCGGAAUCACUGGGCUUAAAGGGCGCGUAGGCGGCCGUCCGAGUCCGGGGUGAAAUCUUUCGGCCUAACCGGAACAGGGCCCUGGAUACUGGACGGCUCGAGGGGGGUAGGGGCAAGCGGAACUUCCGGUGGAGCGGUGAAAUGCGUUGAUAUCGGAAGGAACGCCGGCGGCGAAAGCGGCUUGCUGGACCCCUCCUGACGCUGAGGCGCGAAAGCCAGGGGAGCGAACGGG
rnacentral:rRNA from 1 species